rnacentral:rRNA from 1 species
AUGAGGAGGAGGGGGGAGGAUCAGACAUCGGCGGGGAUGAAAUGGGAGAAGCGGCCAGUGGUUUGUAUGAAGAAGAGGAGCAGCCGGUGGCGCGGAUCAAGGGAGAGAGCACCGGCGGCGGAGGCGAUGACGACGCGCAGAUGGGAGAGAAUUCGUGCAUUGGGAGAAGGAGGUGAGAGCACUGAGUUAGGAGGUGGCUUGGCUCGACCCAGCCAUGGAGCUAGCGUUGAGGAUUCCCCGCUGACCUACUUGGCGAGAGAUGGUGUGCUGCCGAUGGCAGCAGCCAGAACUGAAUUGGCCGUCGUGACGCCUUUAGAUCUGAGAGAGGAGAGGAACAGAAGAAUCCAGCAGAAGAAUUUGGUGAUAACUAGAUUUCUUGCGUGGAAAGGAACAUUGCGAUGA